UGCAGUCGUACGCGGGGCUCUCCUUCGGGAGGGCUGCCGAGUGGCGAACGGGUGCGUAACGCGUAGGUAACCUGCCCUCGAGUGGGGGAUAACCCCGGGAAACCGGGGCUAAUACCGCAUAUUGUCUUAGCAUCGCAUGAUGCUAAGAUGAAAGCCUUUGGGCGCUCGAGGAGGGGCCUGCGUCGGAUUAGCUAGUUGGUGGGGUAAUGGCCCACCAAGGCGACGAUCCGUAGCUGGUCUGAGGGGACGGCCAGCCACACUGGCACUGAGACACGGGCCAGACUCCUACGGGAGGCAGCAGUGGGGAAUCUUGGGCAAUGGGCGAAAGCCUGACCCAGCCACGCCGCGUGGAGGAUGAAGCCCCUCGGGGUGUAAACUCCUUUUCUGGGGGAAGAAAUCCCGGCUGUUGUCGGGACUGACGGUACCCCAGGAAUAAGCGCCGGCUAACUCCGUGCCAGCAGCCGCGGUAAUACGGAGGGCGCAAGCGUUGCCCGGAAUCACUGGGUGUAAAGGGUGCGUAGGCGGGGCUGUAAGUCAGGGGUGAAAUCCUUCGGCUCAACCGAAGAAUUGCCCCUGAUACUGCAGCUCUUGAGUCCCGGAGAGGCCGCUGGAAUUCGUGGUGUAGCGGUGAAAUGCGUAGAUAUCACGAGGAACACCAGAGGCGAAGGCGGGCGGCUAGACG
rnacentral:rRNA from 1 species